AGUGAACGCUGGCGAUAGGCCUAACACAUGCAAGUCGAACGGCAGCACAGUAAGAGCUUGCUCUUACGGGUGGCGAGUGGCGGACGGGUGAGGAAUACAUCGGAAUCUACUUUUUCGUGGGGGAUAACGUAGGGAAACUUACGCUAAUACCGCAUACGACCUACGGGUGAAAGCAGGGGAUCUUCGGACCUUGCGCGAUUGAAUGAGCCGAUGUCGGAUUAGCUAGUUGGCGGGGUAAAGGCCCACCAAGGCGACGAUCCGUAGCUGGUCUGAGAGGAUGAUCAGCCACACUGGAACUGAGACACGGUCCAGACUCCUACGGGAGGCAGCAGUGGGGAAUAUUGGACAAUGGGCGCAAGCCUGAUCCAGCCAUACCGCGUGGGUGAAGAAGGCCUUCGGGUUGUAAAGCCCUUUUGUCGGGAAAGAAAAGCAGCAGGUUAAUACCCCGCUGUUCUGACGGUACCCAAAGAAUAAGCACCGGCUAACUUCGUG
rnacentral:rRNA from 1 species